AGUGCGUCGGUGUUGUCAAUACUUCUUUCCUUAUGUUCUUUAUAUAUAGGUAUAUAUUAUUAUCGAUUCGGUUCCUAUAUAAGGGGUGAAUGAAGCUGAACAAUACAUCAUUCAUAUCUGAGUUCUGGAAGAGAAUAGUAACCCCAAUAGAAUCCAGGAAAUUGUAAAAAUGCCGAACAAAAACGACGAACACGGCGCUGCAAUUCGCCAAGCUAUCAAUUCCAAUCCAAAUGCCAAGGGUGAUGAGAGGGCGGAAAUUAUAAAAGAAGCAAUAAAACAAUCCAAUGAAGAGAACAAAGGUCAAGGUAAAAAAUAAGCAGUGCAAAUGUAAUUCUGAAUGAAAUGAAUAAAAUUUAAUGCAGGAAAAUGUU